rnacentral:rRNA from 1 species
AGAGUUUGAUCCCUGGCUCAGAGCGAACGCUGGCGGCAGGCUUAACACAUGCAAGUCGAACGGGCACCUUCGGGUGUCAGUGGCAGACGGGUGAGUAACACGUGGGAACGUACCCUUCGGUUCGGAAUAACUCAGGGAAACUUGAGCUAAUACCGGAUACGCCCUUUUGGGGAAAGGUUUACUGCCGAAGGAUCGGCCCGCGUCUGAUUAGCUUGUUGGUGGGGUAACGGCCUACCAAGGCGACGAUCAGUAGCUGGUCUGAGAGGAUGAUCAGCCACACUGGGACUGAGACACGGCCCAGACUCCUACGGGAGGCAGCAGUGGGGAAUAUUGGACAAUGGGCGCAAGCCUGAUCCAGCCAUGCCGCGUGAGUGAUGAAGGCCUUAGGGUUGUAAAGCUCUUUUGUCC